GCAGAGCUCCUUUGGCUGGCUUGUUGGCAGCAGUAAAGCUGGAGAGAAAUGGCGUAGCGCGUUGUCCACCGCCGCAGCGCAACGGGGCCAGGCUCACGAGCCCAUGAGAGCCUGGCCGUGGUCCCUUCAAUAAGCACGAUGGAAAUACCUUUGGGACACCGUUCCAGGUUUCUCGUUUCCAGGCCAGCACCAGAUCAGGGGAAACGUGCCCCUCAUAUUCCAUAUCAAGAAAAGUCACAACAUGUUUAAUCUGAACACAAGAACACGAGGAACUCAUGACCAGAUAAGAGACCGUACUGUCUUUGUUCUUCAAACUACCCUCCAUCCUGAUUCUCUGCCCUUCCUCCAGCAUUUUGUCAGGGAAGUGUUCAGUCAACACACCAAUUGUCAUUGGUCUAUGGACAUAUCAUCUCUGCACUUUGAAGUAACCUAAAGAAAACUACAUUUUGUGUCCAAGCAAGUCCAUAAUUUUGCCACAGUCUAAACCAGAGCAGUUAUCUGUUCAUUUUUUGUAUAAAUAAAUCCUGAUUAUUUCAGUUAAGUAUAAAUAUGAUAGCUGGUUGUAUUAAUAGGAAGUGAAAAUUGAAGUAGAGACAGACUGUGUGUCUCAAUUAGCUCCCUAUGUCGUAAAUCAGUAUAUAGUGAACACGAAUUCGGACACUGCCUAGGGUGUUCUUCCACUAAGCAUUAGGACACUUAUGAUUCAAUCACCUGCAACACGAUUACGAGCUCACGCAUUAAAACACAGCUGGUAUUAAUCAACAACAUUGCUGUAUAAAUAACACUAUCAGGCAUUUUCGUUGUAGAUAUUCAAACGUACAGUGUUAUUAUAAAAGAUAAAUGAAGAAAUAAAAAUAUAAGGAAGUGUGUUUUAAAAAUUCUUCUAACAACUCUAAUAAUUAAAAGAUUGUUUCCCUUUAAUGGUCAUUAUGGAUGAGACAUUACAUACAAUAUCUCAUUUAAAGAGGAAAUAAAGCUUUGACUUCAUAGUUUUACACUUGUGCACGACUUGAAGUACUCCAGAAGAUAUAACGAUGUUUCCAGAAAGAGAACAUUGUGAGCAGCGAUGCUCCCUGGUUUUUAUAGUGCAUUCUGGGAGUUUUUAGGCAGAGUUCAUUUCAGUGCACUGGAAUGAUUUGCCAUUGAGACAGCCCUAGAAAAGGCCGGUUCCCUGAUCAGUGCCCUGACUACUGAACUAGGAGGCUGAUUGAGACGCACACAGAGCAUACAGCAUGCACUUGCUUUGCAGGUAUAAAGUUUGUAUGUUAAAAAGCCAAAUUGUGCAAGCAACCUGCAUUUCAGCUGAAGUAGCUUCACCUAACUGUUUUAUUACCUGCAGAUUAAGUGCCUAGAUAUUGUCUCUUUUUAACAACUUGUGUCUCGAGAGUCUGUUGCCAUGGCUUAGCACUAACCCUACAGUUAAAGCACUGCUUGGUAAUUUAGUCUUUGAAAUUGACAGUAAACUGUAGACAAAUAGAUGUUCUCUUAAUUCAGAACUCAUAAUGGUGCUUCAGCAAAAUCAUGAACCAUACUUUCAUGUACUUUAUGUACUUUCCUUGUUCUGACAAACCAAGACAGACAGGCACGUUGACAUUUCCCAAGCAUACUUUAUAAAUUCCAAGGUAACCUUUCUAUUUGGGGUGGGGUGCUAAUGAGAUGCAAGUGCUAAUGAUGACAUAGAAAUAUUUUACUACCUCAGAUGAGUAAAGUUACCACAGCUCAGACCCACACAGUGAGUACUCUAAUAAUCAGACAAUAUUCACCUGUUUUUCUUGCUGUAAUACAAAAAACAACAGUCCUUGUCUGUCAGAUGGUUUGGUGAUCUGAUGCCCAUGUGUGUUCAAGAGGAAUGAGAGUGUUUUUUGUUUUGUUUUUCAUAAAACAUUUUUUUAUUAUUAUAAUGGUUGAUGGAAUAUAUUUCACAAUCAUAUAUACCUGUUAGAUUACUGGUGGCAUAUUUGACCUGGGUUACAGUGUGAGGAUGCACUGCAAAUUAGACGUGUCCCAUUUUCAUCCAAAUGGUAACAUUCUCAAAUUUAUUAUCCUCAGUGAAUAGUAUUAGGCCUGAAGAAAGGCAGUAGAAUAGUUAGAUAUUAGGGUCAUAAUGUGUUACAGUAGAGGUGUAUGUCUUUAAUCUGACAUCUCAAAAAGAAUAAGGGGCCAUUCACACUGAACACUUUUUUUUUCUGCAUCCUUUUAUGCUGUUUUUUUUAUUGUAUUUCCAUGUAAUACAAAGAUGGAUGUAUUUUGCUGUUUUUUUUUUUUUAUUUGUUUUUUUUAGCAUCUUGUGCAGGAGUGCCGUAUUUUUUUUUAGAUACAAUGACAAGUCAAAAAGAACUUCCAACUUCAAAAAAUGCAUCUCGAGACACCUGCGUUUUGUUCUAAUUGUUGCAUUGCGUCUAGCUUUUUUUAAGUGCAAGAACGUGUUCGUUCUGAUCAGUGUUGGGUAAAUUACUUAAAAAUAGUAAUCCACUGCAAAUAAGUAAUUAUUUCUCUAAAAAUUGUAAUCAGAUGACUUUACUAAUUAUGUCAUUGAAAAAGUAAUCACAUUACUAAUUUACUUUUAAGUUACUUUCUAAAACACUUAUCUGCUCAACAAAUAUAUUUCUUUGUUACACACAAGACAUUAGAACUACAGAUUAGAACUACUUUGUAAUUGAAUUACUCCCAACACUGGGUCUGAUCAGCCCCUAAAAUGGUCUGAAUAUUUGACAAAGAUUAGCCUAUGCCUGGGCUAUAUUGCACUGUGAAAAAUAAUUCUGCUUUAAAAGUCAGUUUAGCCCAGGACAUGAUUUAAUCUGUGCUAUGAAAAUGUUCCCCAAUGUUUUCCUAGUUAAAAUUUUGUUGUAUAGGAUUUUUUUUUUUUUAAAGGAAUCGUUGGACUGCUAGAAAUGAGAGUGUAGUGUACCCCAUUAUAUGAGAUGACUGAGUAUGAUAGGCAGAAUAAUAGUCAGGCCUCAGCAUGGGAAAUGUGCAAUAUUCGUUUCUUCCCUUCUGGUCUUGUUUUGAGAUGAAUAUGUAUAUUGUACAAACAAGUGACAAGUUGUUCGCAAAAACAACAAAAUCACCAAUGUCUUCCAUUAAAUGAUGUAUAGUUUCAUCCGCUUGCUUUAGGGUGGCGGGAUUUGUAGUGCCAGCAUUAAACAUGGCCAUGCAUGUACGGUAGCGAUGCUUGCUGAGUUUAGUAGACGUAGUGACAUUCAGUAUAUGCUAUAAAGUUGUUUAGAAAAUAAAUAAAAUUAGACAGACAAAGAUUUAGUUAGUAACCACCAUGGAUGAGGCAUCCAUACCUUGAUCGAUUUGAUUAUGAGGCAAGUCAUCUUCACUUGAACUGAGAGGUCAAGCUUUGUUCGAGGGAAGUGUAUUUUCUGUUUAGCGAUAAAGCAGUUGUUUAUUGUUUGGGUAAUCACCAUUAGUUAAUAAUAACGUGUUGUAGCAUCCUGAGGAUUAGAAAAAUGGCGGUUGGUAUUAAUGUGCGGCUAGCCAUCCUGAAGUACAUGUUUAUGUUUCAUAAGCACUGUGUGAGUUUGUCCUAGUUUGUACUGUGCAAAAUGAAGUUCUGGGCCCAAAAUAGGUGACUCAGAUUAAAACGCCUGUCAAGGGUAUAGUUCACCCAAAAAUGUAAAUGCGUUAAUUUACUCGCCCUCAUGUUGUUCCAUACUUGUACUACUUUUUCUACUUUGGAACAAAAAGGAGAUGAAUGUUAGAAAAAGGUUAAGAAGAACAUUAGCCUCAAGGAUUAUUUUUUACUUACUGGGCGAACAGGCUUCUUUUAGUUUACCUAACAAUGCAGUGAUGUUUUUGUUGUGCCAAGGUGUUUGGUGAUAUUUCUCCUGUUCACGCACAUCUCUAAAUUCUUGACCUAGGAGAACUCAGUUGGUCGAAUAACAUUGAGGAUUGGUUAAAACUUAUCGUGGGUGUGGUUUGGACGUGAGAUGUAUUUUUUUAUAUAUAAACUUUCAAUCGCAUGUGCCAAUUGAGGGGUAGUUACCUAGGUUACAAUAUUUAAAAAUUGAUAACUUUGAAGCCCGUCCCUCAGAGAUUGUGCAGAAGUACUUUUUUUUUUUUGUGUGUGCUGUUUUUAUGAAGUCAGAUCAGAUAACUUGUCGGCAAAAGUGGAAUGGGCUUUGUGACAAGUUCAAUAAGGCAAAGAAGAGAUUCAGCAUUAAAAGUGACGACCCACCAAAAGACCAUUAUUGGCAUUAUUACCAUGGCUGGAACUGUUGGUUGAACACCAUGAUGUCACCAUCAACAAACUAAUUUUAAAUCAAUGCUGCACGUACCACCCCAAUUCCAAAAAAGUUGGGACAGUAUGAAAAAUGCUAAUAAAAAAAAAGUAGUGAUUUGAAAAUUAUUAUAUUAAGUUUUACACAUUAUGUGAUGUUUUACCCUGUGAAUUUCAUUGUUGUGUUUUUUUUAAAAUGUACAGUAAUUUCAACCCGCUCCAAAAAAGUUGGGACAGUCGAGUGUUUACCACUAUGAAACAUCACCAUUUCUAAUAACACUUAUUAAGCAUUUGGGCACUGAACACACAAGUUUGAUAAGUUUAGAAAGUGGAAUUUUCCCUAUUCAUCCAUUAUGUAGGUCUUUCGCUGCACAAUUGUAUGGGGACUGCGUUGCCAGAUGGUGUGCCUAAUAAUGCGCCACACAUUCUCAAUUGGAGACAGGUCAGGACUGCAGGCAGGCCAAUCUAGCAUCUGUACUCUCUGCUUACACAGCCAUGCACUUGUAAUCCGUGCAGUAUGUGGUUUAAAGUAUAUGUUGCUCCAAAAAAUGUAUACAUAUCUUUAUGCAUUCAUGGUGUUCUCACAGAUGUGCGAGUUACCCAUGCCAUGGGCACUGACACACCCCUGGCCCAUACAGAAACUAGCUUUUGGACCUGACGCUGAUAACAUCUUGGAUGGUCCUUUUCCUCUUUGGCCUGGACAAAAUGACGACUGUGUUUUUCAAAAACUUUUUGAAAUGUGGACUCUUCGGACCAAAAACACAGUUCCACUGUUCUACUUACAUUUAAGAUGACACCGAGCCCAGAGAAGUCGGCGGCGCUUCUGGAUAGUGUUGAUGUAUGGCUUCUGCUUUGCAUAGUAAAGACUUAACUUGCAUCUGUGGAUGCAGCGGCGAGUGGUGUUGACUAAUAAAGGUUUACUAAAGUUAUCCCAAGCCCAUGUUCAUGAUAUCCAUUACAGAUGAAUGAUGUUUUUUAAGACAGUGAUGUCAGAGGGAUCAGAGAUCACGUGCAUUCAGAAGUGGUUUUCGUGUUGCCAUUUACACACCGAGAUUUUACCAGAUUCCUUGAAACUUUUUACUAUAUUGUCCAGUGUAGAGGGUGAAAUGCCCAAAAUUCUUCCAAUUUGACUUUGGGGAACAUUGUUCUCAAAGUGCUGGAUUAUUUGCUGAAGCAUCCUUUGCCAAAUUGACAUGUCUUGAAUGAUCCUUGUUGUUGAAGGACUAGGCUGUUUUUGGAGGCUCCUUAUACAAUAUACAGUUCUAUGACACAAUUGACUUGCCUGUUUAACAUCUCCUGUUUCACAUCGUCUUAUUUCAACUCAUCAAAUUGUUAUUAGUCUUAAAUUGCCCUUUUCAACUCUUUGGAGCGUGUUGCAAUCAUCUGAUAAAUUCAUGUACAUUAAAAAAAAAAAAAAAAAAAACUAUAAAA